rnacentral:rRNA from 1 species
UACGGGGGGGGCAAGCGUUGUUCGGAAUUACUGGGCGUAAAGGGCUCGUAGGCGGCCAACUAAGUCAUACGUGAAAUCCCUCGGCUUAACCGGGGAACUGCGUCUGAUACUGGAUGGCUUGAGUUCGGGAGAGGGAUGCGGAAUUCCAGGUGUAGCGGUGAAAUGCGUAGAUAUCUGGAGGAACACCCGUGGCUAAGGCGGCUCUCUAGUACGGUACUGACGCUGAGAAGCGAAAGCGUGGGGAGCGAACAGG